rnacentral:rRNA from 1 species
GAUCCUGGCUCAGGAUGAACGCUGGCGGCGUGCUUAACACAUGCAAGUCGAACGAAGCGCUUAAGACAGAUUCUUCGGAUGAAGUCUUUUGUGACUGAGUGGCGGACGGGUGAGUAACGCGUGGGUAACCUGCCUCAUACAGGGGGAUAACAGUUAGAAAUGACUGCUAAUACCGCAUAAGCGCACAGGGUCGCAUGACCUGGUGUGAAAAAACUCCGGUGGUAUGAGAUGGACCCGCG